GAUGAACUCUGACGGAAUGCUUAACACAUCAGCAAUUGAUUGGUGGCGGACGGGUGAGUAAGGUGUAAAGAACUUGCCUCACAGCUAGGUCCAACAUUUGGAAACGAAUGCUAAUACCUACUACUGUGAGAGAGCUUGGCGUCCCAUUAGCUAGUUGGAGAGGUAACGGCUCACCAAGGCGAUGAUGGUUAGCCGGCCUGAGAGGGUGUUCGGCCACAAGGGGACGGAGACACGGCCCUUACUCCUACGGGAGGCAGCAGUGGGGAAUAGUGGACAAUGGACCAAAGUCUGAUCCAGCAAUUCGGUGUGCACGAUGAAGUUUUCGGAAUGUAAAGUGCUUUCAGUGUGGAAGCGGUACCAACAGAAGAAGUGACGGCUAAAUACGUGCCAGCCGCCGCGGUAAUUC
rnacentral:rRNA from 1 species